CCUACGGGAGGCAGCAGUGAGGAAUAUUGGUCAAUGGACGCAAGUCUGAACCAGUCAAGUCGCGUGAAGGAAGAAGGAUCUAUGGUUUGUAAACUUCUUUUAUAGGGGAAUAAAGGUAUCCACGUGUGGAUAUUUGCAUGUACCCUAUGAAUAAGCAUCGGCUAACUCCGUGCCAGCAGCCGCGGUAAUACGGAGGAUGCGAGCGUUAUCCGGAUUUAUUGGGUUUAAAGGGUGCGUAGGUUGUUUUUUAAGUCAGCGGUGAAAGUUUGUGGCUCAACCAUAAAAUUGCCGUUGAAACUGGAAGACUUGAGUGUGUUUGAGGUAGGCGGAAUGCGUGGUGUAGCGGUGAAAUGCAUAGAUAUCACGCAGAACUCCGAUUGCGAAGGCAGCUUACUAAGCCAUAACUGACACUGAAGCACGAAAGCGUGGGGAUCAAACAGGAUUAGAUACCCCGGUAGUC
rnacentral:rRNA from 1 species